rnacentral:rRNA from 1 species
UUGACCUCGGAUCAGGUAGGGAUACCCGCUGAACUUAAGCAUAUCAAUAAGCGGAGGAAAAGAAACCAACCGGGAUUGCCUCAGUAACGGCGAGUGAAGCGGCAAGAGCUCAAAUUUGAAAGCUGGCCCCUCCGGGGUCCGCAUUGUAAUUUGCAGAGGAUGCUUCGGGUGCAGCCCCCGUCUAAGUGCCCUGGAAUGGGCCGUCAGAGAGGGUGAGAAUCCCGUCUGGGAUGGGGUGCCU